rnacentral:tRNA from 2 species
GUGGGUGUAGCUCAGUUGGUAGAGCACCAGGUUGUGGCCCUGGGGGCCGAGGGUUCAAGCCCCUUCAUUCACCCCA